CAGCUCAGCCUCCCAAAGUGCUGUGAUUACAGGCAUGAGCCACUGCGUCCGGCCUCAGAAUCUCCAGAAGGAGGAUGUGGUGGAAGAUACCGAGCAAUGGGAUAGUAAAGAGUUGGGGACAGUUUCUUAGACUUUCCCCUAUUCUGAAUCAGGUGGGAGCAGAGCAUGGACAUGGGAACAGGUGCUCUCAGCAAGGAGCCGUGGUGGACCCUACCCGAAAACUUUCAUGCUCCAAUUGUGUUCCACAUGGAAGAGGACCAGGAGGAGCUCAUAUUCGGACUUGAUGACACAUACCUUCGCUGCAUUGAGCUGCACAGCCACACCCUUAUUCAACUGGAGAGUUGUUUUACAGCUACAGGCCAGACUCGUGUGACCGUAGUCGGACCACCAAUGGCAAAGCAGUGGCUGCUGCUCAUGUUCCGUUCCGUGGGGAGCCACUACUCCAAGUGUCACGCUCAAGGUCUGAAGAUGCUCGAGCGUGUCCGAAGCCGGCCCCUGACCAACGACGACCUGGUCGCCUCCAUUAGCCUGCCACCCUACACCGGAGACUGAUCUCCCCUGGGAAGCGGGGAUGAGAGGAGAAGUCUUGGCUUCACUUUUGCUGAGAAAGACAUGAAAAACAAUGAAGAAAGUUUGAAUCUGUGGCCAGACCUGCCCCUCUCAGGUCUUCUAGGCAUGUGUCUGAGGCAAAUCUCCUGAAUGCAAGAAGUGUUAUUGGUAAAGCAAUCCAAUAAAAUAAGCUACCUAUGAAAAAAAAAAAAAAAAGAGUUGGGGACA